rnacentral:rRNA from 1 species
UACGUAGGGUGCAAGCGUUAAUCGGAAUUACUGGGCGUAAAGCGUGCGCAGGCGGUUAUAUAAGACAGUUGUGAAAUCCCCGGGCUCAACCUGGGAACUGCAUCUGUGACUGUAUAGCUAGAGUACGGUAGAGGGGGAUGGAAUUCCGCGUGUAGCAGUGAAAUGCGUAGAUAAUCUGGAGGAACACCGGUGGCGAAGGCGGCGUCCUGGACCGAACACUGACACUGAUGAGCGAAAGCCAGGGGAGGACGAAACGGG